rnacentral:rRNA from 1 species
UAAUACAUGCAAGUCGAACGCUUCUUUCCUCCCGAGUGCUUGCACUCAAUUGGAAAGAGGAGUGGCGGACGGGUGAGUAACACGUGGGUAACCUACCCAUCAGAGGGGGAUAACACUUGGAAACAGGUGCUAAUACCGCAUAACAGUUUAUGCCGCAUGGCAUAAGAGUGAAAGGCGCUUUCGGGUGUCGCUGAUGGAUGGACCCGCGGUGCAUUAGCUAGUUGGUGAGGUAACGGCUCACCAAGGCCACGAUGCAUAGCCGACCUGAGAGGGUGAUCGGCCACACUGGGACUGAGACACGGCCCAGACUCCUACGGGAGGCAGCAGUAGGGAAUCUUCGGCAAUGGACGAAAGUCUGACCGAGCAACGCCGCGUGAGUGAAGAAGGUUUUCGGAUCGUAAAACUCUGUUGUUAGAGAAGAACAAGGACGUUAGUAACUGAACGUCCCCUGACGGUAUCUAACCAGAAAGCCACGGCUAACUACGUGCCAGCAGCCGCGGUAAUACGUAGGUGGCAAGCGUUGUCCGGAUUUAUUGGGCGUAAAGCGAGCGCAGGCGGUUUCUUAAGUCUGAUGUGAAAGCCCCCGGCUCAACCGGGGAGGGUCAUUGGAAACUGGGAGACUUGAGUGCAGAAGAGGAGAGUGGAAUUCCAUGUGUAGCGGUGAAAUGCGUAGAUAUAUGGAGGAACACCAGUGGCGAAGGCGGCUCUCUGGUCUGUAACUGACGCUGAGGCUCGAAAGCGUGG